rnacentral:misc_RNA from 1 species
GUGACCUGCGGUUGGAUCAUUAAAAAGAUCUAGCCCGAACUUGGAUGUGAUCUUCUUCGGAGGGUCUCAUUCGAUGCCGGGUUUCUCACCUAAAAAGUGAGUUCAACAUUAUGUGAACUGUUCUGUCUCUGGCGGUGGGGUGGCCUAAAACGUCAUCUGUCAGCAUCCGGGUUCUCUCGGUGUGCCGUGGACAAGCCGUCAAUGGUGUAUGUUUCAUACAAACUUUUGUUUUCAUUAAUCUGUCUGACAUAUCUUUGUAUCUAAAAUAUACAAAAACAACUUUUGGCAACGGAUCUCUUGGCUCCCGCAACGAUGAAGAACGCAGCGAAAUGCGAUAUGUAGUGUGAAUUGCAGAAUUCAGUGAAUCAUCGAAUCUUUGAACGCACAUUGCGCUCUCUGGUAUUCCGGGGAGCAUGCUCGUUUCAGAAUCAUUAACAUUCUCAAAGACACGGUUCUCGCAUUUUUGCGAGGCUGGAUCUUUCGGAUGUGAGCCUCUUUGCUUUGAUGCAAUGGCUUGAAAAUGAUUGUGUUUGCUACCGGCCUUAUGGUUCGGUUCUCUCAAGUGCAACAGAUGUUAAUUCAUUUCGUUAAACUCUUGAUGAGGAACGUUCCUCAACCGGUGUUUGGCUUACACUCCAUCAAUUAUACCUUCAGCGAUACGUGUAUCGCUGUUUGAUAACUUGGUCUGAAAUCGAGCAAGAAAACCCGCUGAACUUAAGCAUAUCAAUAAGCGGAGGAAAUCACUAGUGCGGCCGCCUGCAGGUCGANCAUAUGGGANAGCUCCCAACGCGUUGGANGCAUAGCUUGAGUANUCUAUAGUGUCACCUAAAUAGCUUGGCGUAAUC